GAUGAACGCUGGCGGCGUGCCUAAUACAUGCAAGUCGAGCGAACAGACGAGGAGCUUGCUCCUCUGACGUUAGCGGCGGACGGGCGAGUAACACGUGGAUAACCUACCUAUAAGACUGGGAUAACUUCGGGAAACCGGAGCUAAUACCGGAUAAUAUAUUGAGCCGCAUGGUUCAAUAGUGAAAGACGGCUUUGCUGUCACUUAUAGAUGGAUCCGCGCCGCAUUAGCUAGUUGGUAAGGUAACGGCUUACCAAGGCGACGAUGCGUAGCCGACCUGAGAGGGUGAUCGGCCACACUGGAACUGAGACACGGUCCAGACUCCUACGGGAGGCAGCAGUAGGGAAUCUUCCGCAAUGGGCGAAAGCCUGACGGAGCAACGCCGCGUGAGUGAUGAAGGUCUUCGGAUCGUAAAACUCUGUUAUUAGGGAAGAACAAAUGUGUAAGUAACUAUGCACGUCUUGACGGUACCUAAUCAGAAAGCCACGGCUAACUACGUG
rnacentral:rRNA from 1 species